rnacentral:lncRNA from 7 species
ACCUCACUAUUAAAGAAACUGUAUUGCAGAUUUUUAACAGCAGAAUGGCUGAUGACAUAGAAAAGAAAAUAUUCUAGUGAUUUAAUUCCUAAAAAGAGUAUUGAAAGACCCUCUGCACACACUUUCUUUCCUUCUUAAUGCGAAAGAUGUUCUGAGGUUUUUUGAAGAGUUGCCUAAGCAGUUUUCAGUUUCAUUACCUCAGAAAUAUUGGGAUUUUUUAAAUGAGAUUUUCUUCCUAGAGUAAGAUCGAGUCACUCUGUCUGGUUAUUAGUGGAUAUUCAUUGCUGUCCUAUUCACGAGUUUACUGUUCCUUAAUAACAAGGCGAGGCAUAGGCUCAUCCUCUGUUCCUGCACUGAAUUCCAUAUUAGUUCUGGUCCUGUUGGCUACCAGUAUUUCAGGCUGGACAUGAUUCGUAUUGUUGUGAGCAUUUCAGCUGCUGAGGUGAGAGGGGCCUUAGAAAUGCCUGUGGCAGGGAUUUCUGAAGGAGACUCUGGACCGGGAUCUAAAAAAAUUGUCAAGAAGUGCACCUGGAAUGACAGAGUGAUAGAAAACUCCAGUCAGAUGACAUCCUUAGAGAUGUUAGCAAGCCUGACUUGGUGACAGAUGAACUGAAGGGUGAUGUCUGAUUUCAAAGAGAAUGACUCGUAGUUUUUUCCUCCUGACAAAAUGAAGUCGAAUGAAUUGGAAUUCAUGACAAAUAUGUUUAGAACGUUAUUUUAAUUAGUAAUGAAGUUAUCCAUUCCAUUAAGCAGUACUUUAACAGCUUACAUUACAAAUGGGCUCUUAUUCAAACUUCACUGAUAGGUCAUUAAUUAAAGUGUGGUGACUUCUAUAGUGUCUAAGUUCAAGAGACCUAUGUCUAUACAUAUUACAGUAGCAACUGUUCCCCUCUUGAUUGCUAGACCAACUGAUCGGUCUAUGAUACAUCCUCUCAUUUUGUAUCAGUGUGCUUGAGCUUGUCUGACUCCUGCUGAGGGGGCAGCUUUCCUCUAAUACUUUCUUCUGUAUGCAGAUAAGGCAGCUGCUAUUGUAUUAAGGGGCAAAGAAAUACCCAAGAUAUUUGUCAAUUAAGACUUGUGAAACUGAGAACAAAUAAGAUGGGAGUAAUCCAGUAGGAGAGAUGUGUUUUCUCUCUUUAAUAAAAAAAGGUUGAACCU